rnacentral:rRNA from 1 species
UAAUGUUGAAAAAUUAGCGGAUGACCUGUGGCUGGGGGUGAAAGGCCAAUCAAACCGGGAGAUAGCUGGUUCUCCCCGAAAGCUAUUUAGGUAGCGCCUCGUGAAUUCAUCUCCGGGGGUAGAGCACUGUUUCGGCUAGGGGGCCAUCCCGGCUUACCAACCCGAUGCAAACUGCGAAUACCGGAGAAUGUUAUCACGGGAGACACACGGCGGGUGCUAACGUCCGUCGUGAAGAGGGAAACAACCCAGACCGCCAGCUAAGGUCCCAAAGUCAUGGUUAAGUGGGAAACGAUGUGGGAAGGCCCAGACAGCCAGGAUGUUGGCUUAGAAGCAGCCAUCAUUUAAAGAAAGCGUAAUAGCUCACUGGUCGAGUCGGCCUGCGCGGAAGAUGUAACGGGGCUAAACCAUGCACCGAAGCUGCGGCAGCGAACGUAUCACCCAAGACAACUUUACGGAGUUGACGAUUGACGGAGCGAAGCGACGUCAAAGCGUUCAUUAAAGUCGAGUUGGCUUAGGGAUACGUUCGUUGGGUAGGGGAGCGUUCUGUAAGCCUGUGAAGGUGUGUCGUGAGGCAUGCUGGAGGUAUCAGAAGUGCGAAUGCUGACAUAAGUAACGAUAAAGCGGGUGAAAAGCCCGCUCGCCGGAAGACCAAGGGUUCCUGUCCAACGUUAAUCGGGGCAGGGUGAGUCGACCCCUAAGGCGAGGCCGAAAGGCGUAGUCGAUGGGAAACGGGUUAAUAUUCCCGUACUUGGUGUUACUGCGAAGGGGGGACGGAGAAGGCUAUGUUGGCCGGGCGACGGUUGUCCCGGUUUAAGCGUGUAGGUGUGUGUUCCAGGUAAAUCCGGUUCACUUUAACACUGAGGCGUGACGACGAGGCACUACGGUGCUGAAGCAACAAAUGCCCUGCUUCCAGGAAAAGCCUCUAAGCAUCAGGUAACACGAAAUCGUACCCCAAACCGACACAGGUGGUCAGGUAGAGAAUACCAAGGCGCUUGAGAGAACUCGGGUGAAGGAACUAGGCAAAAUGGUGCCGUAACUUCGGGAGAAGGCACGCUGACACGUAGGUGAAGUGAUUUACUCAUGGAGCUGAAGUCAGUCGAAGAUACCAGCUGGCUGCAACUGUUUAUUAAAAACACAGCACUGUGCAAACACGAAAGUGGACGUAUACGGUGUGACGCCUGCCCGGUGCCGGAAGGUUAAUUGAUGGGGUCAGCGCAAGCGAAGCUCCUGAUCGAAGCCCCGGUAAACGGCGGCCGUAACUAUAACGGUCCUAAGGUAGCGAAAUUCCUUGUCGGGUAAGUUCCGACCUGCACGAAUGGCGUAAUGAUGGCCAGGCUGUCUCCACCCGAGACUCAGUGAAAUUGAACUCGCUGUGAAGAUGCAGUGUACCCGCGGCAAGACGGAAAGACCCCGUGAACCUUUACUAUAGCUUGACACUGAACAUUGAGCCUUGAUGUGUAGGAUAGGUGGGAGGCUUUGAAGUGUGGACGCCAGUCUGCAUGGAGCCGACCUUGAAAUACCACCCUUUAAUGUUUGAUGUUCUAACGUGGACCCGUAAUCCGGGUUGCGGACAGUGUCUGGUGGGUAGUUUGACUGGGGCGGUCUCCUCCUAAAGAGUAACGGAGGAGCACGAAGGUUGGCUAAUCCUGGUCGGACAUCAGGAGGUUAGUGCAAUGGCAUAAGCCAGCUUGACUGCGAGCGUGACGGCGCGAGCAGGUGCGAAAGCAGGUCAUAGUGAUCCGGUGGUUCUGAAUGGAAGGGCCAUCGCUCAACGGAUAAAAGGUACUCCGGGGAUAACAGGCUGAUACCGCCCAAGAGUUCAUAUCGACGGCGGUGUUUGGCACCUCGAUGUCGGCUCAUCACAUCCUGGGGCUGAAGUAGGUCCCAAGGGUAUGGCUGUUCGCCAUUUAAAGUGGUACGCGAGCUGGGUUUAGAACGUCGUGAGACAGUUCGGUCCCUAUCUGCCGUGGGCGCUGGAGAACUGAGGGGGGCUGCUCCUAGUACGAGAGGACCGGAGUGGACGCAUCACUGGUGUUCGGGUUGUCAUGCCAAUGGCACUGCCCGGUAGCUAAAUGCGGAAGAGAUAAGUGCUGAAAGCAUCUAAGCACGAAACUUGCCCCGA